CUGGUGCUUGCUUCAGCAGCACUAAAAUUGGAAGGAUACAGAGAAGGAAGCAUGGCCCCUGUGCAAGGAUGGCACGCAAAUCUGUGAAGCGUUCCAUAUUAAA
rfam:Otolemur garnettii contig068888, whole genome shotgun sequence.